rnacentral:rRNA from 1 species
AGAACGAACGCUGGCGGCAUGCCUAACACAUGCAAGUCGAACGAGACCCCAACUUCGGUUGGACGUCUAGUGGCGCACGGGUGCGUAACGCGUGGGAAUCUGCCCUUCGGUUCGGAAUAACUCGGAGAAAUCCGUGCUAAUACCGGAUAAUGACGUAAGUCCAAAGAUUUAUCGCCGAGGGAUGAGCCCGCGUAGGAUUAGCUUGUUGGUGAGGUAAAGGCUCACCAAGGCGACGAUCCUUAGCUGGUCUGAGAGGAUGAUCAGCCACACGUGGGACUGAGACCACGGCCCAGACUCCGUACGGGGAGCAGU